rnacentral:sRNA from 1 species
UUUGUGCCGAUGCUGCGUGAGGGAUGGAAGUGGUUAUCCUUUUUGCCUGUAAUACCGCAUUGUAUUGGACGGAAGCAUGAUAGGCAAAAAGAUAUGAACGGACAGCCCGGCCCGCU